rnacentral:miRNA from 1 species
UGGGCAGCGCCUCCAGGACUGUCCAGCCUGAGAAUGCCAGGCUCCCGGCUCUCAGGUUCGUCAGCCCGAGAGGUACUGCUCUACCCCAA